GAGUGAUCGAAAGAUGAAAAGCACUUUGAAAAGAGAGUUAAACAGCACGUGAAAUUGUUGAAAGGGAAGCGUUGGGCACCAGACUCGCCCGGGAGGGCUCAGCCGGCACGUGUGUCGGUGCACUCCUUCCUGGGCGGGCCAGCGUCGGUUUGGGCGGCCGGUCAAAGGCCCCGGGAAUGUAGCACCCUCCGGGGUGCCUUAUAGCCUGGGGUGCCAUGCGACCUGCCCGGACCGAGGAACGCGCUCCGGCUCGGACGCUGGCGUAAUGGUGGUCAACGGC
rnacentral:rRNA from 1 species